rnacentral:hammerhead_ribozyme from 1 species
AUCUAGCUGACGAGUCCCAAAUGGAACGAAAGGCACGUCCUGGAU